CAGAUGCUAAUACCGGAUAACAACAGAUGAUGCCUAUCAACUGUUUAAAAGAUGGUUCUGCUAUCACUCUUGGAUGGACCUGCGGUGCAUUAGCUAGUUGGUAGGGUAACGGCCUACCAAGGCGAUGAUGCAUAGCCGAGUUGAGAGACUGAUCGGCCACAUUGGGACUGAGACACGGCCCAAACUCCUACGGGAGGCAGCAGCG
rnacentral:rRNA from 1 species